UUUAUUUACAUUAAAAUGGAUUUUGUUUAUUCAAAUUACCUUGAGUUAAAAAAAUUAUUAU
rnacentral:tRNA from 1 species